UACAGAGGUCCCAAGCGUUGUUCGGAUUCACUGGGCGUAAAGGGUGCGUAGGUGGCCGGUUAAGUCUGACGUGAAAUCUCCGAGCCUAACUCGGAAACUGCAUCGGAAACUAUCCGGCUCGAGGGUUGGAGGGGGGACUGGAAUACUUGGUGUAGCAGUGAAAUGCGUAGAUAUCUGGAGGAACACCAAAGGCGAAGGCAGUGUCCUGGGGAGCAUCUGACGCUCAGGUGCGAAAGCUAGGGGAGCGAACGGG
rnacentral:rRNA from 1 species